rnacentral:lncRNA from 1 species
UAGAUGGAGGUUUUGCUUUUGUCGCUCAGGCUGGAGUGCAGUGGUGUGAUCUCGGCUCACUGCAACCUCUGCCUCCCGGGUUCAAGUGAUUCUCCUGCUUCAGCCUCCAGAGUAGCUGGGACUACAGGCGCCUGCCACCACACCCGGCUAAUUGUUGUAUGUUUAGUAGAGACGGGGUUUCACCAUGUUGAGCAGGAUGGUCUCGAUCUCCUGACCUCGUGAUCCGCCCACCUCAGCCUCCCAAAGUGCUGGGAUUACAGGUGUGAACCACUGCACCCAGCCUCUCCUGGAAUUUUCUAAGUGGCUCUAAGAUGUAUUAUAUUUAGCCCCAUUUUACAGGACUCGGGAAUCUGGGCUCUCAUCUUCAUCCCAGCUCACGUUGAACCUCCUGCGAGGCCAGAGCUUCGCUCGGGACAGGGUCCGCAGCAGGUGCCGUCCAUCCACAGAGCCCAGAAGCAGCACAUCUAGCUCGGGGGUGCUGUGCACUGUAUCGGCCUGGGAGUCUGGGUCCACAGGAGGACCUGGCAAGAUGACAGCCGGCUGGGGCACCAUGGUGGUUGGCAGAGCGUCCACCGUAGCAUCCCCUACAAAAAUGGACUACAAAUCCCAGUAGGCGUUCCGCCCGUGGCCUAGGUUCUAAGGGGAGGUGUUUCCUCUGAGUAUUCUGGGAUUCGUAGUCCGCAGACAGGACCUCGGGGCUGCCCCUGGGAGCGCGCCCUCUGCCGCUGGAGCGUUGGAGAACGUUAGCGCCCCCCUGCCACCGACGCUUGGACUACGAGCUCUAAAAGGCCGUCUGCUCAGGCUGGGAAGGCAGACGGUGUAUCAGACCUUGCGUGCUGGGACUCACUUUCAGCCUGCAGGUCCAGCGCCGGGGACAGGCCCCACCAGGACACGGAGCCGAAGCCCCUGCCGGAGCCGGCAGGUGUGGUCAUCACCCUGCGGAAAAGACAUUCUGGGAAUCCCACACAUUGCCCGCCCCGCUCCCCUCUCACCGCCCUUCACUUCUCGCCCCUUUGCCUCCACAUGAUACCUUGCCCACACCUUUAUCCUCCAAAUAUCCCGGGACGCCCCUUCCUCUCUGCUCAGUGCAGCACUGUGGACCCGCGGCACUCCACAACCGCUGCCCAGAGUCCCCGCCCUUUUCGAUGAAUCAAGCAAUGGAAGCAUGAGGGAUGGGACCACAGCGAGCAACUGACCAAUGAGAGUGAGCGAGGCCCGCCCUCUACAAACUUUUGGCCAAUGGGAGCACUGAGGGCCAGCCUUCCCCCACACCUAGGAGAAGAGGGCGUGUGGACGCGGUUGUCAUGACGACGGCGCCAGCGGGGGAAGGGGGGCUGGAACAGGUUGGGGCGGAGUCAGGGUCGGUCCAAAUUUCUGGAAUGGGGGAGGCCUGGGCUGAUUAACAUUGAGAGUGAAGGGAGCUUAAUCUUAUUUCUUGUUUUUUGUUUUUUUGUUUUCUUCAUCUGCCUUUACUCGUACGUAACGGAAUUUUGAUCAAUUCAAAUAAAGUGAAGUGUCUAGACUUUAGAUGGCAGGCUUCUG